rnacentral:rRNA from 1 species
CCUACGGGUGGCAGCAGUCGAGAAUCAUUCACAAUGGGCGAAACCCUGAUGGUGCGAAGCCGCGUGAGGGACUGCGGGUCUUUGGAUUGUAAACCCCUGUCAUGUGGGAGCAAAUGAGAAAGAUAGUACCCCAAGAGGAAGAGACGACUAACUCCGUGCCACCAGCUGCGUGACUGCAGCCGGCUCAAGCGGUGUUCGGAAUCACUGGGCUUAAAGCGUGCGUGGGCUGGUUAGUAAGUCGUGUGUGAAAGAGGCGGGAUCAACCCGCGGACUGCACAUGAUACUGGGAGACUAGAGUAAUCGAGGGGGAAGCGGAAUGCGCGGUGUAGCAGUGAAAUGCGUAGAUAUCGAGAAGAACACUCGUGGCGAAGGCGGGUUCCUGGAGAUUAACUGACGCUGAGGCACGAAGGCGAGGGUAGCGAAAGGGAUUAGAUACCCCAGUAGUC